rnacentral:rRNA from 1 species
GAUGAACGCUGGCGGCGUGCCUAAUACAUGCAAGUCGAGCGAACGGACGAGAAGCUUGCUUCUCUGAUGUUAGCGGCGGACGGGUGAGUAACACGUGGAUAACCUACCUAUAAGACUGGGAUAACUUCGGGAAACCGUAGCUAAUACCGGAUAAUAUUUUGAACCGGAUGGUUCAAAAGUGAAAGACGGUAUUGCUGUCACUUAUAGAUGGAUCCGCGCUGCAUUAGCUAGUUGGUAAGGUAACGGCUUACCAAGGCAACGAUGCAUAGCCGACCUGAGAGGGUGAUCGGCCACACUGGAACUGAGACACGGUCCAGACUCCUACGGGAGGCAGCAGUAGGGAAUCUUCCGCAAUGGGCGAAAGCCUGACGGAGCAACGCCGCGUGAGUGAUGAAGGUCUUCGGAUCGUAAAACUCUGUUAUUAGGGAAGAACAUAUGUGUAAGUAACUGUGCACAUCUUGACGGUACCUAAUCAGAAAGCCACGGCUAACUACGUG